rnacentral:lncRNA from 1 species
UUUUCCUGCAGACAAUGCCAUGACCCGGAUGGGAGUGCAGAGCAGGUCUGGACUGACAGGACAGUCAUCCACGACCACAUCAGCCUGACAUUCCCUGAUGAUGGCAACGGGAUGAACUCGGAGCAGCUGCACAAAAUACUAAGUAUUUGGUACCCGAAGCCGAGCACGCAGAUCAUCCUGGGAGGACAAAGAGCCAAAACACAGCUGGUUUCCAAAGCUGUCUUCCCCCACACUUGUCAUGUGGGCACAGGGAUACCACACUUGCAAGGGCUUCUCCAAAGGUUUUUCUGCCAGGAGUGCUCCAGGCUUUCAGAAGGUAAC